rnacentral:rRNA from 1 species
UACGUAGGAGGCGAGCGUUGUCCGGAAUUACUGGGCGUAAAGCGCGCGUAGGUGGCGCAGCACGACAGGUGUGAAAGCCCCCAGCUCAACUGGGGAAGUGCCUUGGAAACUGUGCAGCUCGAGCGAGGUAGGGGUGAUGGGAACUUCCGGUGGAGCGGUGAAAUGCGUUGAUAUCGGAAGGAACGCCGGUGGCGAAAGCGCAUCACUGGACCUCUCCUGACGCUGAGGCGCGAAAGCCAGGGGAGCAAAGCGGG